rnacentral:rRNA from 1 species
CUACGGGUUGCUGCAGUGAGGAAUAUUGCACAAUGGGGGGAACCCUGACGCAGCAACGCCGCGUGGAGGAUGACGCAUUUCGGUGUGUAAACUCCUUUUAUAUGUCAAGAAAAUGACGGUAGCAUAUGAAUAAGCACCGGCUAACUCCGUGCCAGCAGCCGCGGUAAUACGGAGGGUGCAAGCGUUACUCGGAAUCACUGGGCGUAAAGGACGCGUAGGCGGGUUGGAAAGUCAGGUGUGAAAUCCUACAGCUUAACUGUAGAACUGCACUUGAAACUUCUAAUCUAGAGUAUGGGAGGGGGAGAUGGAAUUAGUAGUGUAGGGGUAAAAUCCGUAGAUAUCACUAGGAAUACCUAAAGCGAAGGCGAUCUCCUGGAACAUUACUGACGCUAAGGCGUGAAAGCGUGGGGAGCAAACAGGAUUAGAUACCCGUGUAGUC